rnacentral:rRNA from 1 species
AGUCAACCUACCCUAUGGACGGGAAUAAUCUCGGGAAACUGAGGAUAAUUCCAGAUAGAACACUAUGCCUGGAACGGUUUGUGUUCCAAAUGAUUUAUCGCCGUAGGAUGGGACUGCGUCCUAUCAGUUUGUUGGUGAGGUAAUGGCCCACCAAGACUAUUACAGGUACGGGCUCUGAGAGGAGUAGCCCGGAGAUGGGUACUGAGACACGGACCCAGGCCCUAUGGGGCGCAGCAGGCGAGAAAACUUUGCAAUGUGCGAAAGCACGACAAGGUUAAUCCGAGUGGUUCCUGCUAAAGGAACCUUUUGACGGUCCUAAAAACACCGUUGAAUAAGGGGUGGGCAAGUUCUGGUGUCAGCCGCCGCGGUAAAACCAGCACCUCAAGUGGUCAGGGUGAUUAUUGGGCCUAAAGCAUCCGUAGCCGGCUCUGUGAGUUUUCGGUUAAAUCUGUGCGCUCAACGUACAGGCUGCCGGGAAUACUGCAGAGCUAGGGAGUGGGAGAGGUAGACGGUACUUGGUAGGAAGGGGUAAAAUCCUUUGAUCUAUUGAUGACCACCUGUGGCGAAGGCGGUCUACCAGAACACGUCCGACGGUGAGGGAUGAAAGCUGGGGGAGCAAACCGGAUUAGAUACCCGGGUAGUCCCAGCUGUAACCAUGCAAACUCAAUGAUGCAUUGGCUUGAAGCCAAUGCAGUGUU